GCAUUUGUGGCGGAAUGGUAGACGCGCUAGAUUCAGAUUCUAGUGGGGAGACCCGUACAGGUUCAACUCCUGCCAAAUGCACCA
rnacentral:tRNA from 1 species